UGCAGCUGAACCUGUUGGUGAAGGCGAUCUGGCUUCCCAACCCAUGUCCACAACUGAGCCUCUGGGAGAUGGUGAGGACGUGCCUGCAGGGAGGACUUUUCCUCAUCCUUCCCUCAUUCCUACACAGAAGCCUGCCUCCCAUCGCAGGGGUCCUCUAAAAGGAAAGAACAAAGCUGCAGGACAGAAGAAAGCCCAUGAGUCAUCUGAA